CAUUAAAUGGCCCAGGCUGACCUUGAACUUGAGACCCUCCUGUCUCAGCCUCCUGAGUCGCUGGGAUGACUGAAACAACAUCAUUUUAAACACCCACGGGACCUGCCUGCCCUGACCCUGUUCACAGGGCCUCCCAGCCCUUAGCCCCAUGCGGGAGCCCUGGCCACCUGUGAGGGGCUGUUGAAGGUGAGCUGCUGCGGGAGGCAGCCUCCCCCACCCCAGAGCUUCAGAACGCAAGUUACUAAGAGCUCCCUGAGUCCCUACUGCACGUCCACCUGUCGUCCCAGCGGCUGGGGAGGCUGAGGCAGGAGGAUGGCAUGUUCAAGGCCAGCCUCAGCAACUUAGCGAGACCCUGUUUCAAAAUAAGAAAGGAGCAGGGCUGGGCGUGGCUUGGUGGCAGAGCCUCCCCGUCUGUCCCGUCACCUUCCUCCGGGUCUGGGACAGGGAUGGAUGGGACAGGAUGGGGAACAGGCGACUUGAGGCUCUCUUGGUCUCUGGUUUUCACCCAGUCGCUGAGGCAUCAGGCCCUGGAACACGGGCUCCCCAGGGACACACAGCCGCCAUGGUUCCAGUCGGCCUCUCCCGGGCAGAGGCCAGCCGGCGGAGGAGGACGCCCAGGCCGCAGGGCGGGUCUGCAGGGUCACCUCACCCCACAGCGGAGCCGGGGUCUGCCAGGGGGAAACCCGGAGGAGUCCACGGACAAAGAGGCGGCGUGGGAGCUGCUGCCUUCUUUCCCAGAGCACGACAGGCAUUUAUUGAGCAGCUACUGUGUGCCAGGCCCGCAUCCAGACACCAGGAAUCAGAGACCUGCGUGUCCACCUGCAGUCCAGCAGAAGGACCAGCCCCUCAUCACUGCCCGUUACGCGGCGACACUCCGACACCACGCCGUGGUUCCAGCUUCAUGGGUGUGCUCAGAAUCUAGUCCUGUCCCUCCAACUGUAAGGCGACCAGCCUGCCACAGGUCCUGACCGUCCUGCUCAGCGCAGUGGUCUCUCACCUCCUUUAGAAUUUGGGGGAUGCGAGGGACCACAAUAAAGACAACAAAACGGGGGGGGGGACUGGUUUUAGUGCCCGGAACUUAACAUCAGGAGGUCAAGCUAACUUCAGGCAUGGCUGGAUCCAGGGACUCCUGCUGCUCCUGGGGCUUGGCGGGGCGGGCUUCGUCCCUGCACAGCUGCCGCCCAGGGCACGCGCCGCCCCAGCAGCUUCAGGCUCCC
rnacentral:lncRNA from 1 species